rnacentral:rRNA from 1 species
CCUACGGGAGGCAGCAGUGAGGAAUAUUGGUCAAUGGUCGGGAGACUGAACCAGCCAAGCCGCGUGAGGGAUGAAGGUCCAGAGUAUCGUAAACCUCUUUUGUCAGGGAACAAAGGCGGGUACGUGUCCCCGGCUGCGUGUACCUUAAGAAAGAGCAUCGGCUAACUCCGUGCCAGCAGCCGCGGUAAUACGGAGGAUGCGAGCGUUAUCCGGAUUUAUUGGGUUUAAAGGGUGCGCAGGCGGUCUGUUAAGUCAGCGGUCAAAGCCCGGGGCUCAACCCCGGCCGGCCGUUGAAACUGGCAGUCUAGAGUUGGAGAGAAGUAGGCGGAAUGCGCGGUGUAGCGGGGAAAUGCAUAGAUAUCGCGCAGAACUCCGAUUGCGAAGGCAGCAUGCCGGCGCGCAACUGACGCUGAGGCACGAAAGUGCGGGUAUCGAACAGGAUUAGAUACCCCUGUAGUC